rfam:Salmo salar isolate Sally breed double haploid chromosome ssa12, whole genome shotgun sequence.
CCCACUGUAGCUCAGUUGAUAGAGCAUGGCGCUUGCAACGCCAGGCUUGUGGGUUUGAUUCCCACGGGGGGC